GGGGGGAGGGCGGCAUGACACCCCUCAGCAUCGCCGGGGGGGGGAGGGGGGGUGCAAUGGGGGGCUGCGCACCCCCCCUUCCGCGCCCUUUCUUCCCCCCUCGGAGGGCUGGGGCGGGGGGGGGAGUGCCAGGGCGGUUUAGCCGUGAGCUCUGCCCGUCACCCCCCGCCGUGGUACCCGGGUGACCUUUCAAAUCAAAGCCCGGCUCGUACCUACCAAGGUGCAUUGGCCAGCAAGGGCUGGGGAGGGGGGGGGGGGGGGGUGUGAUGGGGAGGGGGGGGUGAUGCACCCGGGCUCUCCCCCUCCCUCUGCCUUUCCCCCCUCCCUCCCCUCCCUCCCUCGCUGCUCCCUCCCUCUCUCUCUGCUGCAUUUUGCAUGAGCUAUCUAGGUCAUUAGCAUUUUAGCGUAUGCAAGACUUGACAAAGCUGAUGAGAAGCCAGAUGGGCCCCUCUCCUCUUUUUUUUGCACCACUUGGGAUCUGAGCGAAAGGAUUGACUGCAGCAGGCGAACGGGGGAAGGUUUAUUGCGCUCCUCCAGACCCCCCCUUUAUAGCAGCGCGGCGGGGCUCGGGGGCAGGCGGCAGAGCGGGCAGCGGCGGGCACGGACGGCGGGCAGGAAAGGCCCCUCUCUCCGUGUUCACAGCGGACCUUGAUUUAAAUGUCCAUACAAUUAAGGCACGCGGUGAAUGCCAAGAACGAGGCUGACCAGCAUCGAGGCCGGAGGCUGCUCCGCGGCUCUCCGCACCCGCGGAACCCCCUUACCCACCCCCCAGCUCGGCCGCGGGGCGCGCAGGCAGCGCUGCGCACCGGCGCAGGUGGCACCCGCAGCGCGGGGAGGGGGGCGGAGAGGGGUGGGAUGGGGGGGAAGACGACACGGCACCUUUUGAGGGGGUCUCCGGGAAAAAAAAGGGGAGGGGGGGGGUCCCUGCGCGCACAGGCAGCCGGGGAAUGAAACCUGGAGCUGUCACUCGGGGGGUGACCGCGGGCGGGCCCCGCGGGGGACGCGGCUGCUGCCCCCGCGACUGCGCCGGUGCCGCCGCUUUGUGCUUUGCCUUUUCUCUCUCCUUUUUCUCCGCAGAGGGCUGCGUUUUCCCCUGCUAAAGCAAGGGCAUGUCUUGGGGUCACCGGGGCUCACGCUGCUCCCCCGGCAGGGGGGAGGCUGGGGCAAAGCCGCUUUUUUCUUUAUUUUUUUAAACUGUAUUGUUAUAUUAUUUUUUUUCCGGUGGCUGUUUGUUUGUCUUUCCCCUCCACCCACCCUCUCCUUUAAUCCUUAUAAUUUCAAUCAAAAGUGCCGGGGAGAAGAAGGGGGGAAGCCCUGUGUCUGCAGGGCGAGGCCGGGCGUAAAUCUCUUGGAGGGAUAAACAUGUCAUUUGUUCCCUUUGUAUGGUAAUGCUGUCCCCCCCCAGCUGCCCCC